GGGGCGAGAGCUGAUCAUGCAGUCUGAACGCUAUUUUUUCCGCGGAGCUUGCUCCACCGGAUGAGAGGAGUGGCGAACGGGUGAGUAACACCUGGGUAACCUGCCCAUCAUAAGGGGGUAACUCUUGGAAACAGGUGCUAUGACCGUAUAACAAUCGAAACCGCACGGUUUGGAUUUGAUAGGCGCUUUCGGGUGUCUCUGAUGGAUGGACCCGGGGUGCAUUACCUCCUUGGUGAGGUAACGGCUCACCAGGGCCGCUGUGCAUACCCCACCUGAGAGGGAGAUCGGCCACAUUGGGACUGACACACGGCCCACACUCCUCACGGGAGGUCAGCAGUAGGGAAUCUUCGGCAGUGGACGAAACUCUGACCGAGCAACGCCGCGUGAGUGAAAAAGGUUUUCAGAUCGUAAAACUCUGGUGUUAGAGAAGAACAAGGAUGAGAGUAACUGUUCAUCCCUUGACGGUAUUCUAACCAAAAAGCCCCGGCUAACUACUUGCCAGCAGCCGCGGUAAUACAUAGGUGGCAAGCGUUGUCCGGAUUUAUUGGGCGUAAAGCGAGCGCAGGCGGUUUCUUAAGUCUGAUGUAUAAAGCCCCCGGCUCAACCGGGGAGGGUCAUUGGAAACUGGGAGACUUGAGUUGCAGAAAAGGAGAGUGAAAUUCCCAUGUGUAGCGGUGAAAUGCGUAGAUAUAUGGAGGAUCACCAGUGGCAAAGGCGGCUCUCUGGUCUGUAACUGACGCUGAGGCUCAAAAGCGUGGGGAGCAAACAGGAUUAUAUACCCUGGUAGUCCACGCCGUAAACGAUGAGUGCUAAGUGUUGGGAGGGUUUCCGCCCUUCAGUGCUGCAGCUUACCGCAUUAAGCACUCCGCCUGGGGAAGUACGACCGCAAGGUUGAAACUUCAAAAGAAUUGACGGGGGCCCGCUAAAUCGGUGGAACCAUGUGGUUUAAUUCCGAGCAACGCGAAGAACCUUACCUAGGUCUUGACAUUCUUUGACCACUCUAGAGAUAGAGCUUCCCCCUUCGGGGGCAAAGUGACAGGUGGUGCAUGGUUGUCGUCAGCUCAGUGUCGUGAGAUGUUGGGUUAAGUCCCGCAACGAGCGCAACCCUUAUUGUUAGUUGCCAUCAUUCAGUUGGGCACUCUAGCAAGACUGCCGGUGACAAACCGGAGGAAGGUGGGGAUAGCACGUCAAAUCAUCAUGCCCCUUAUGACCUGGGCUACACACGUGCUACAAUGGGAAGUACAACGAGUCGCGAAGUCGCGAGGCUAAGCUAAGAUUUUAAACCUUGUUCCAGUUCGGACAGUACGCCGCAACUCGCUCACGAGAAGCCGGAAUCGCUCCUAUUCGCGGAUCAGCCCGCCCCGGUGAAUACGUUCCCGCACCUUGUACACACCGCCCGUCACACCACGAGAGUAUGUAACACCCGAAGUCGGUAACUUAACCUUUGGGAGCCAGCCCCCUACCAAGGGCCCUAUCCUGGUGCGAAGUCUAAUAACGUUCG
rnacentral:rRNA from 1 species